GUGGGGAAUAUUGGACAAUGGGCGCAAGCCUGAUCCAGCAACGCCGCGUGAAUGAUGAAGGCCUUCGGGUCGUAAAGUUCUUUUGGUAGGGAAGAAAAUGACGGUACCUACAGAAUAAGCUCCGGCUAACUUCGUGCCAGCAGCCGCGGUAAUACGAAGGGGGCUAGCGUUGUUCGGAAUGACUGGGCGUAAAGCGUGCGUAGGUUGUUAUUCAAGUUAGUGGUGAAAGCCCAGGGCUUAACUCUGGAACUGCCAUUAAAACUGACUAGCUAGAGAGUGUUAGAGGUAAGUGGAAUUCCUAGUGUAGGAGUGAAAUCCGUAGAUAUUAGGAGGAACAUCAAUGGCGAAGGCAGCUUACUGGGUCACAUCUGACACUGAGGCACGAAAGCGUGGGUAGCAAACAGGAUUAGAAACCCUAGUAGUCC
rnacentral:rRNA from 1 species